rnacentral:rRNA from 1 species
GAUGAACGCUGGCGGCGUGCUUAAUACAUGCAAGUCGAACGAAGCAUCUCGCCCGAUGAUUGACCUAGCUUGCUAGAGAUUGAUUCAACUGAGAUGACUGAGUGGCGGACGGGUGAGUAACGCGUGGGUAACCUGCCUUAUACAGGGGGAUAACAGUUGGAAACGACUGCUAAUACCGCAUAAGCGCACAGUACCGCAUGGUACCGUGUGAAAAACUCCGGUGGUAUAAGAUGGACCCGCGUCUGAUUAGCUAGUUGGUAAGGUAACGGCUUACCAAGGCAACGAUCAGUAGCCGACUUGAGAGAGUGAUCGGCCACAUUGGGACUGAGACACGGCCCAAACUCCUACGGGAGGCAGCAGUAGGGAAUAUUGCACAAUGGGGGAAACCCUGAUGCAGCGACGCCGCGUGAAGGAUGAAGUAUUUCGGUAUGUAAACUUCUAUCAGCAAGGAAGAAAAUGACGGUACUUGACUAAGAAGCC